GAUGAACGCUGGCGGCGUGCCUAAUACAUGCAAGUCGAGCGAACAGACGAGGAGCUUGCUCCUCUGACGUUAGCGGCGGACGGGUGAGUAACACGUGGAUAACCUACCUAUAAGACUGGGAUAACUUCGGGAAACCGGAGCUCAUACCGGAUAAUAUAUUGAACCGCAUGGUUCAAUAGUGAAAGCCGGUUUUGCUGUCACUUAUAGAUGGAUCCGCGCCGCAUUAGCUAGUUGGUAAGGUAACGGCUUACCAAGGCAACGAUGCGUAGCCGACCUGAGAGGGUGAUCGGCCACACUGGAACUGAGACACGGUCCAGACUCCUACGGGAGGCAGCAGUAGGGAAUCUUCCGCAAUGGGCGAAAGCCUGACGGAGCAACGCCGCGUGAGUGAUGAAGGUCUUCGGAUCGUAAAACUCUGUUAUUAGGGAAGAACAAAUGUGUAAGUAACUAUGCACGUCUUGACGGUACCUAAUCAGAAAGCCACGGCUAACUACGUG
rnacentral:rRNA from 1 species